UACGGGGGGGGGCAAGCGUUUGUUCGGAAUUACUGGGCGUAAAGGGCUCGUAGGCGGCCAACUAAGUCGGAUGUGAAAUCCCCAGGCUUAACCUGGGAACUGCAUCCGAUACUGGAUGGCUUGAAUCCGGGAGAGGGAUGCAGAAUUCCAGGUGUAGCGGUGAAAUGCGUAGAUAUCUGGAGGAAUACCGGUGGCGAAGGCGGCAUCCUGGACCGGCAUUGACGCUGAGGCGCGAAAGCGUGGGGAGCGAACAGG
rnacentral:rRNA from 1 species